CAUGGCCUGAUAUUGGUGAGAACUGCACUGUAUGUGAUUGUUGCCACAUAUUCACAGAGCAUGUAUCCGAGUAUCUGUGUGGAAGCAGUUGAGAAACUAGCCGAGUAUCUGCGUGAAAAGGGAAACUGAAGCUCGUCAUAUAAGACCUGAAGAGGUGAAGAAUCUAUUCAGUGUGAUUUUUAACACUAUUGACGAGAAACUAUGAACUGUACUCAAUCUGCUUAGUUACAGUAACACCAAGGUAGGUUGUUUCAGUAUGGCACAGAUAAACAAGAAACA